GCUAAACAUAGUACAAGCUACAGCAUCAACUGAUUAAUGAGGGUACUUCACAGACACAAAGCAAAACUUCACACAGCACAGCGAAAAGUCGUAAAACCUUGGCUAACAGAUCAACUGAGUAACCCUUUCAAUGCUGGCUAGAUCCUCCUAGGCAUAUAGUAUCCUAUUCUCGUGUAAUUUUCAAUUAAAAUAACAUUCGAACCAGCUCAUUAAUCGUUUCCUGGAACCAUCCAAUAAGAAUAAUCUACCAGAUUUUUACAAAAG